rnacentral:rRNA from 1 species
AUUGAACGCUGGCGGCAUGCCUUACACAUGCAAGUCGAACGGUAACAGGUCUUCGGAUGCUGACGAGUGGCGCACGGGUGCGUAAUACAUCGGAACGUGCCCGAUCGUGGGGGAUAACGCAGCGAAAGCUGUGCUAAUACCGCAUACGAUCUACGGAUGAAAGCGGGGGAUCGCAAGACCUCGCGCGGACGGAGCGGCCGAUGGCAGAUUAGGUAGUUGGUGGGAUAAAAGCUUACCAAGCCGACGAUCUGUAGCUGGUCUGAGAGGACGACCAGCCACACUGGGUCUGAGACACGGCCCAGACUCCUACGGGAGGCAGCAGUGGGGAAUUUUGGACAAAGGGCGCAAGCCUGAUCCAGCCAUGCCGCGUGCAGGAUGAAGGCCUUCGGGUUGUAAACUGCUUUUGUACGGAACGAAAAAGCUCUCUCUAAUACAGGGGGUGAAUGACGGUACCGUAAGAAUAAGCACCGGCUAACUACGUG